rfam:Glossina brevipalpis unplaced genomic scaffold Scaffold11, whole genome shotgun sequence.
UAAGUGGCUUUAUUAAAAGCCAUUUUUAUAAGCGUAAGCGCAUUAU